rnacentral:rRNA from 1 species
GACGAACCGUGCGAACGUUAUUCGGAUUCACUGGGCUUAAAGCGCGUGUAGGCGGACAGGCGCGUCCGAGGCUGAAAGCCCCCGGCUCAACCGGGGAACGGGCCCGGAUACGGCUUGUCUGGAGGGGCAUAGGGGGAGCUGGAACUUCCGGUGGAGCGGUGAAAUGCGUUGAGAUCGGAAGGAACGCCCGUGGCGAAAGCGAGCUCCUGGAUGCCUUCUGACGCUGAGACGCGAAAGCCAGGGGAGCGAACGGG